CAGCUUUGUGAGAUCACGAACUUGGUGUGAGUGAGUGUUGCAGUGGAUCCCAAAGGUGCGGCAGCUGGAGGCUUGUGCUCCUGGAGGGAAAUCUGAGCAGGGCUCUCUUCCACAGCUGCCAUACCUCCUUUACCUGGAACCUGGAGAUGCUCCUUGCAAUGAAUGAUCCAGAGCAGCUUAUAGUCAAAGGGAAGGCUGACUCUGGAACUCAAGCCUUCUCACUCAAAGGCCAGUAGUCUUUGUUUCUGGUGAGGGCCAGAUGAAUGAAGCAUAAAUAGUUUGUCCUGUUUUAUCAGUAGCUGUCACAAGGCAUCAUUUCUUUGGCAGCAGAUCUUAGCACAGUUUAUAUGUUUAAUAUUUAACAUAUAUCAGUAACCUAUGACUCAAGCUGAUCACAGACUCAAAUAUAAUGUACCUUGUGGAUGAGCAAGAAGUAAAAAUAGUGUAAGCAUUUCAUCUUGGCCGGGAAAUAGAUAUGAAUGUUCAUGGAAGAAUGAACAAAGGAAGAGGCUUGCAGGUUGGGUCAAUUAAUUCUCUCUCUGGAAUUUUGAACUGAGAUUCACAGAGAAGCUGUUGUGAAGGAGCCAUGGAUAGCUGGAGGCAGAGUAUAGUAGUGCAAUCACAGCUCAUUACAACCUGGAACUCCCCAGCUCAAGUGAUCCUCCACCUUCAGCCUCUCAAGUAUCUAGUACUACAGGUACCUGCCACCAUGCCUGGCUAAUUUUUAAAAAAUUUCUUGUAGAGACAGGGUUUUGCUAUGCUGUCCAGGCUGGUCUCAAACUCCUGGCCUCAAGUGAUCCUCCCCCCUCGGCCUCCCAAAGUGCUGGGCUUGUAGGCAUGAGCCACUAGAUGAAGCACUCUACCUAUUUCCUAUAUUUCCAAUGUUUCCCAUCUGUUA
rnacentral:lncRNA from 1 species